rnacentral:rRNA from 1 species
AUAUCAAUAAGCGGAGGAAAAGAAACCAACAGGGAUUGCCCCAGUAACGGCGAGUGAAGCGGCAAGAGCUCAAAUUUGAAAUCUGGCCUCCCCCGGGGGUCCGAGUUGUAAUUUGCAGAGGAUGCUUCGGGUGCGGCCCCCGUCUAAGUUCCUUGGAACAGGACGUCAGAGAGGGUGAGAAUCCCGUCUUGGGCGGGCGGUCCGCGCCCGUGUGAAGCUCCUUCGACGAGUCGAGUUGUUUGGGAAUGCAGCUCUAAGCGGGUGGUAAAUUUCAUCUAAAGCUAAAUACUGGCCGGAGACCGAUAGCGCACAAGUAGAGUGAUCGAAAGGUUAAAAGCACCUUGAAAAGGGAGUUAAACAGCACGUGAAAUUGUUGAAAGGGAAGCGCUUGCGGCCAGACUCGGGGGCGGGGUUCAGCGGGCGCUCGUCGCCCGUGCACUCCCCGCGCCCCGGGCCAGCAUCAGUUUCGACGGCCGGUCAAAGGCCCCCGGAAUGUGUCGUCUCUAGGGACGUCUUAUAGCCGGGGGUGCAAUGCGGCCCGUCGGGACUGAGGAACGCGCUCCGGCUCGGAUGCUGGCGUAAUGGCCGUAAGCGGC